CCUACGGGUGGCUGCAGUGAGGAAUAUUGGUCAAUGGACGAGAGUCUGAACCAGCCAAGUAGCGUGAAAGAUGACUGCCCUAUGGGUUGUAAACUUCUUUUAUAUGGGAAUAAAAUGUUCCACGUGUGGGAUUUUGUAUGUACCAUAUGAAUAAGGAUCGGCUAACUCCGUGCCAGCAGCCGCGGUAAUACGGAGGAUCCGAGCGUUAUCCGGAUUUAUUGGGUUUAAAGGGAGCGUAGGUGGAUUGUUAAGUCAGUUGUGAAAGUUUGCGGCUCAACCGUAAAAUUGCAGUUGAAACUGGCAGUCUUGAGUACAGUAUAGGUGGGCGGAAUUCGUGGUGUAGCGGUGAAAUGCUUAGAUAUCACGAAGAACUCCGAUUGCGAAGGCAGUUCACUGGACUGCAACUGACACUGAGGCUCGAAAGUGUGGGUAUCAAACAGGAGUAGAUACCCCAGUAGUC
rnacentral:rRNA from 1 species